UGAUUUUAAAUGCUCUUCAUCUAAAUUUCUCAAAUAUUUUUCCUGCUCUGACUGUAAAUAAUAAUUUCCAUCUACUUUCAUCACAUCUGACUGAGGACGAAAAAUCUACAAUUAAACUAUAAGGAAAUCUUACCA